GGCAAUAGCCAAUUGCAAUAAGAUGAUGCAAUAUCGCGCUUGAUUAAAGUUCAGGGUAGACUAUGAAAAUGACAUUAUCUAUCUUUGUGGUCUUGACCAAAUUACGUGCCAGCAGUCGCGGCAAGACGUUAAAGACUAGUGUUAUUCAUGUUUAAUCGGUUUAAAGAGUACCAAGACUGUUAAUAAAGCCCAUAUUGGGGACAUAUUUUCUAGAGUUUUAUGAAAGGAAGCAUUGAGGUACUGUCUGUGUAGAGAUAAAAUUUGAUAACACAGGUUACGGCACAAAUUAAUGCGAAGGCAUCUUCUUAUGUAAUAACUGACGUUGUAGGACGAAGGCUUAGUGAAGAAAAAAGGAUUAGAGACCCUUGUAUUCUAGGCAGAAAAUGAUGAAUGUCAUAGGUUGAAUCUAAAUAUAAUUUUAAUUUGGUCUAUAAAUGAAAGUGUAAGCAUUCCACCUCAAGAGUAAUUUGGCAACAUUGAAACUGAAAUCAUUAGGCCGUGUCUGAGAUCAGUAGUGAAGUAUGUUGUUUAAUUAGAUGGUCCGCAAAAAACCUUACCACAUUUUGUAUAUUUUACAAGCGUUGCACGGCUGUUUUCAGUUGAUAUCGUGAGAAUUGGUUAACUCCAACAAUUAACGUAAGCCCUUACUUUAUUUAUAGAUAAAGUAUUUCAUCUGUUACAGGAUUGCUAACAGGGA
rnacentral:rRNA from 1 species